rnacentral:rRNA from 8 species
UUAAAUUGAAGAGUUUGAUCAUGGCUCAGAUUGAACGCUGGCGGCAGGCCUAACACAUGCAAGUCGAACGGUAACAGGAAGCAGCUUGCUGCUUCGCUGACGAGUGGCGGACGGGUGAGUAAUGUCUGGGAAACUGCCUGAUGGAGGGGGAUAACUACUGGAAACGGUGGCUAAUACCGCAUAACGUCGCAAGACCAAAGAGGGGGACCUUCGGGCCUCUUGCCAUCAGAUGUGCCCAGAUGGGAUUAGCUAGUUGGUGAGGUAACGGCUCACCAAGGCGACGAUCCCUAGCUGGUCUGAGAGGAUGACCAGCCACACUGGAACUGAGACACGGUCCAGACUCCUACGGGAGGCAGCAGUGGGGAAUAUUGCACAAUGGGCGCAAGCCUGAUGCAGCCAUGCCGCGUGUAUGAAGAAGGCCUUCGGGUUGUAAAGUACUUUCAGCGGGGAGGAAGGUGUUGUGGUUAAUAACCGCAGCAAUUGACGUUACCCGCAGAAGAAGCACCGGCUAACUCCGUGCCAGCAGCCGCGGUAAUACGGAGGGUGCAAGCGUUAAUCGGAAUUACUGGGCGUAAAGCGCACGCAGGCGGUCUGUCAAGUCGGAUGUGAAAUCCCCGGGCUCAACCUGGGAACUGCAUUCGAAACUGGCAGGCUUGAGUCUUGUAGAGGGGGGUAGAAUUCCAGGUGUAGCGGUGAAAUGCGUAGAGAUCUGGAGGAAUACCGGUGGCGAAGGCGGCCCCCUGGACAAAGACUGACGCUCAGGUGCGAAAGCGUGGGGAGCAAACAGGAUUAGAUACCCUGGUAGUCCACGCCGUAAACGAUGUCUACUUGGAGGUUGUGCCCUUGAGGCGUGGCUUCCGGAGCUAACGCGUUAAGUAGACCGCCUGGGGAGUACGGCCGCAAGGUUAAAACUCAAAUGAAUUGACGGGGGCCCGCACAAGCGGUGGAGCAUGUGGUUUAAUUCGAUGCAACGCGAAGAACCUUACCUGGUCUUGACAUCCACAGAACUUUCCAGAGAUGGAUUGGUGCCUUCGGGAACUGUGAGACAGGUGCUGCAUGGCUGUCGUCAGCUCGUGUUGUGAAAUGUUGGGUUAAGUCCCGCAACGAGCGCAACCCUUAUCCUUUGUUGCCAGCGGUUAGGCCGGGAACUCAAAGGAGACUGCCAGUGAUAAACUGGAGGAAGGUGGGGAUGACGUCAAGUCAUCAUGGCCCUUACGACCAGGGCUACACACGUGCUACAAUGGCGCAUACAAAGAGAAGCGACCUCGCGAGAGCAAGCGGACCUCAUAAAGUGCGUCGUAGUCCGGAUUGGAGUCUGCAACUCGACUCCAUGAAGUCGGAAUCGCUAGUAAUCGUGGAUCAGAAUGCCACGGUGAAUACGUUCCCGGGCCUUGUACACACCGCCCGUCACACCAUGGGAGUGGGUUGCAAAAGAAGUAGGUAGCUUAACCUUCGGGAGGGCGCUUACCACUUUGUGAUUCAUGACUGGGGUGAAGUCGUAACAAGGUAACCGUAGGGGAACCUGCGGUUGGAUCACCUCCUUACCUUAAAGAAGC